rnacentral:rRNA from 1 species
UACGUAGGGGGCAAGCGUUAUCCGGAAUUACUGGGUGUAAAGGGAGCGUAGACGGUAGUGCAAGUCUGGAGUGAAAGGCGGGGGCCCAACCCCCGGACUGCUCUGGAAACUGUAUAACUGGAGUGCAGGAGAGGUAAGCGGAAUUCCUAGUGUAGCGGUGAAAUGCGUAGAUAUUAGGAGGAACACCAGUGGCGAAGGCGGCUUACUGGACUGUAACUGACGCUGAGGUUCGAAAGCGUGGGUAGCAAACAGG